UGAGAUUUAAUAUAAUAGGAAGAAUAUGAGUUUUCAGAAUACUCAAAGUAACCGUUCAAAUCGGUUAACCUCAA
rnacentral:tRNA from 1 species